CCUACGGGUUGCACCAGUGGGGAAUCUUGGACAAUGGGCGAAAGCCCGAUCCAGCAAUAUCGCGUGAGUGAAGAAGGGCAAUGCCGCUUGUAAAGCUCUUUCGUCGAGUGCGCGAUCAUGACAGGACUCGAGGAAGAAGCCCCGGCUAACUUCGUGCCAGCAGCCGCGGUAAUACGAAGGGGGCUAGCGUUGCUCGGAAUGACUGGGCGUAAAGGGCGCGUAGGCGGUUUAUGCAGUCAGAUGUGAAAUCCCCGGGCUUAACCUGGGAACUGCAUUUGAGACGCAUAGACUAGAGGUCGAGAGAGGGUUGUGGAAUUCCCAGUGUAGAGGCGAAAUUCGUAGAUAUUCGGAGGAACACCAGUGGCGAAGGCGGCUUACUGGUCUGCAACUGACGCUGAGGCGCAAAAGCGUGGGGAGCAAACAGGAUUAGAUACCCCUGUAGUC
rnacentral:rRNA from 1 species